AGAUUAGUCCUCACUUGCUACACUACCUCAGAACUGCCGUCAAAGUGAACCAGCACAGGACUCUCAGAUGACCUGCUACACAGCUUUGUUUUUAAAUUUACAAGGCAAAAGAACAUGGAGAACAAAGACAGCAGGAUGACAACAGAAUGGAACUCAACAAUGGAAAACAGAAAGCAAUCAGAUAGCAAACAAACAAGAACUGACAUGAAAACCCAAAAAGAAACUUUAAAAAGACAAAGGCAACUGAUAUGUCAAGCAAUGGAGGAGAUCGAACAACUCUGGAGACAGACAGAAAGAAAGACAAAUGAAAUUGACUUCUUAAAGACAAAGACAGAGGGGCAACAGGAAGACAUUGAGAGACUGACAUCUGAAAAAAAUAAACAUCACCUACUAUUAAAGCAAUUUAACUUCCAAAUAAAAAAUAUAACUGAGAAACUCAAACAAAGCAAAAAUUCAGUUGCUAAGGAAAAAACAAACUUUCUGAAAACGUGGACUAAAAUAUAUCAAGAAAAGGAUACUCUGGACAGAAGACGUCAAUACUUCAUCAACGAGCGACACAAGCUAGACACUAUAAAAGCUAGUAAGACAGAAUCACCAAUAAGGGAGGAACCCAAAGAGCCCCUUAAUGAGCAGGUAAAGCGGGAACUGGAUAUACUGGAGAAUGCAACUGAGAAAAACAGGGAAAUAAUGCUUGAAGUAAAGAAAGUUAAAGAAAAAAUGGAGAAAACUAAAGCAAACAUACAGCAAGCAUUAAAAAGAAAUAAAAAGGACAUUUCAAAAAACAGUGAACAAAUUAACCACAUUAAACAUAUUAUGUAUGUAAAGAUCAACAUGGUCAAGCACAGAUGGGCAAGCAUUAUAAAACAGGCUGAAAUGAAGAAAAUUCACAUGUAUAAAGAAGGACAGAGAGAAAGAAACGAUGGAAAAGCCACAUUUGACACAGUGAAGAGAAAACUGUGUAGAAUCCAGGAAGAGAUGGAGAAACUUUGGGAUGUGCUGGAAGACAGUGAACAACAACUGGAAGUGACUCAAAGUGCAAAGCAGCAGCUAAUGGCAGAGAACAAUCACAUGAACAUCAAGAUGAAUAUUGAUUAUCAAAAGCAACAAGAUUCAGAUCUAAGCUUUAAAGUGACACACAUCCAGCCUGAAAGAGAUGAUUUAAAGAGAGUUGAAAUGAAACUAAAGACAGGAAGGGAAAAUGUAGAAAAAGACAAACCAAAUACUUACAUGCAGAAUUUGAUCUCUGAGGAAGAAGAAAACAAUGAAGUGCUUUGUAACAAGGGUGAAGAAACAAAGCAGAGCAUGAGGGACUUUACAGAAGUAAAGGCUCAAACGAAAUGGACAAAUUUUCGAGAAAAGCAAAAAAGAAGGGAGCUUGAGCGUUUGCUGGAGAAGAUAAGGAAAGAGAGGGAUGAGUUAGAAAUCAUGAAGACAAAAAUACAGCGACAAAAGGAAAGGGUUGAACAAAAACUGGAAAAUACUGUCACUGAGAUAAAAGGUAAAAUAGAAAAAACUGGUGCAGAAAUGAACAACACUUGGGAGAAAAUGCAGAGAACCCAAAGGGAGAUUAGUAAGAACCAGGAAGAAGCCAAGAACUAUAUGGAAAAACUGACAUCCAUGAAAACUUGGGUCAACAAAUGGAUAUUGGCACAAUCUACAAUCAAACAUACUUUUUCAGUGAACGCAUCCAAACUUCAAGAAUCACAGUAUGAAAUAGACACAGACUCCCUUGAGGAUCAAACAUCAGCAAUUCCAAAGGACAAAAAAGGGAAAAAAAGUAUAACAGAUACAACAUCAUUACAAAAUUCUGUAACAUUAGAUGAUCAGCAUCAAAAUAAAAAAAUAAAAGAACAACAGAAGGAGCAUUUUGAAUCCAAAUAUUGUUUUGCAGAAGGCAAAAAUGGGGAGCAGGACUUUUGCUUACAGAUGCGAACUGAAAUUCAUGAAGAAGUAGUGCAUGAUAAAACUGAAUUACUGAUAAUUGUAAGAGAAAGGGAAGAAGUGGAAAAACUGAUACGUAACCUAAAGCAGCAAGAGGGGGAAAUAAAGGAACAAAUAAAGUACACUAUUGAUAACAUGAACGAAAAAACUCAAGAUAUAAAAAGGCUCAUUUUGGAAAUAAAUGACCUGCAGAGGGCAGACACUGUAAUUACAGUCGGGGAAACUGAAAAUGCCCAGGAAGUAUUAACUAAGCUGUUGGAAGAAACUGAACAGAGAAAGAUUUUGAUGCUGAACACCAAAGUUUUCAAAAAUGAAAUAAUAAAAUAUGAAGUACAAGAGGGGGACGAUGCCAAAAAAAUAAAACAAGAGUCUAGCUUGAUAAGGCUUAAUGUUAACAAGCAAAAACUAAUUCAGAAAUCAGGAGAAGAGAUGAAAAAACAUGUUGAACACACCGAUGAAGAUAAAAAGGACAGAGGAGCCGAUAUACAAAGACUCAGGGCAGAGAUUUACAAAACACAAGAGAUUAUAAGAACGCUAAGAGGAGGACUUGAGAACCUAGCGGAAAAAAAUAACAUGGACAAAUAUCAACAGAAUGAAGGCAGUGAAAUUGAAGGAUUGCUAAAAGACAUCAAACAGUUUCAAGAGUUUUUGGAAAUUGUAAAAACCAAAAUAAAGCAAAGUGAAGUACAUAUGACAGAAGAAAUGAGCAAUAUAAAAUCAAUGAAAACUGCAGUGAAAAAGAAGAGAAGAGAAUUAGAUCAAAGAUUAGAAAAUACUUUGAAAGAGAGAGAUGGAUUAGACAUCUUUAAAAUAAAAAUGCAGAGGCAAACUGAACUGAUUCGGCAGAAUUUAGAAAAAAUGGCAAAAGUUAAGAGCACAGUCGAGAAAAUAGCUGCUAAGACCAGAAGGAAAAUUGAAGAGAUAGAAAUUAGUAUGAAGGAGACUGAAAUAAAACUAAGACAGUUUAAAGACCUUGACUGCAUUAACCUUAACUUGACAAAAGGCGCAAAACCAGACAUGGAACAUGGUAGUACACCUAAGCAAAGAACUGCUCUUGAAAUUUUCAAGACUGAAAUUAAGAAGACAAUGGACAAUAAAAGAGAUAAACUGACAAAAAACAAAAUGGACAAAGAAACUGAGGGAACAGAAAGCCUCAAACAAGUUAAUGAGAAACUGGAGGAGGUAAAACUUUCAUUAGACAGUCUGGGUCAAAAAAAUAAAAAAUCAGUUAGUGAGAAUGUAAAACAAAUAAUCAAGAGAGAAGAGACUGAGAUGACAGAACAGAUCCAAACAGCGAUAAAGAAUGAGAAAAUGGUUAAACAGCUAACUGAAACAGAAAUACAGGAGGAACAGGUGAACCAUUUGAGGGAGAAAACUGAAAGAAAAGAACAGGAGCUUGAUGACGGAGUACACAUGACCAAAAGGCAAAUAAGAGAAAUGGAGCUGCUGCAAUCAGAAUUGAAAAUAAAGGUAAAAGAAUUUGAGCGUUUUUUUAGAAAAAGUAUGAGAAAAAAGGAGGAAAUUGAAAUAAUGUGGUAUGAAAUACAACAAGAAAAGGAAGCAUUGAGGACCGAGAUCAAAAAGAAAAGAAGAGAAUUAGACCAAAGACUGGAGAUGACUAUGAGAAAAAGGGAUGAACUAGAAGUGUUAAGGGUAAAAUUGAAACGACAGAUGGAAGAGCUGGCUGAGGAGAAGCAGAGAGACCAUAAUCUGUUCAUCCAUCUACCCAAUGAACAUGAAAAACAUUUUGGAAGGAAAGAUGUGAAAAUGUUAAUGGAGAAAAUCAAAAACCACAGCUUAAAAGUUUCUCAGUAUACUAUUUACAUCCAAGACAUAAGAGACAAGUUUAAUUUACACAUGGGAACAAUUAGGACAGAGAUGAAAAUUCUAGAAAAUGUGAAUGCUCAUUUAGAAAAGGACAAAAAAGGAUUCAGAGAAGUUGAGGCUGAAAAUAAGAAUAUAACAAACAAAAUGAAGAGGUUAAAAUAUCAGCUUAAUAUACUCUUUGGAAGAGUUACCAUACAAGACACUGCAGAGAUGGAUGAAACAAUCAACAUCUGGGAAAAAAUCCAAAGAGAAAAACAGAAGCUUGAUAUGAGACUAGAAAAUAUUAAAAGGGAAAGACAAGAGAUAGAAGUUCUGGUGGUUGAGCUGGAGAUGAAGAAAAGAGAAAACCAACGUGUAAUCAAAAGAAGCAUUCAAAAAGAACAGAAGAUAAAAAGAAUAUGGGCUACUUUCAAAGAAGAAAGAACUGCCCUCGUGAGAGAAACAAAGCAGAAAAAGGAGGUUGAACAACGACGAGAGGAGAUCAUCAAACAUCAAGGUGAACAAGAAAUAAAGCAGAAGUUGCAAAAAGAAAAGAAAGGGAUGCAAAGUGAAAUUGAAGACAUGAGGAUGAAAGAAAAAAGGAAACAAAUUCAAAAACAAUGGGAACUAAUCAAGAAAUACUUAGGGGAAUAUAAAAAGGUAAUUAAAAACACUCAAUUCAUCAUUGGAAUAAUUCAGAAUGAAAAUAAACACAUGCAAGACCAAAAAAAUUUCUACAUGACCAAAAGGAAAGAAACACUGAAUAUUAAAAGUGAAUUAAAUAGGCAAAAGGAAAUUAUACGGUGUGCAUUAAAAAACAUACAACAAGAGCCAAAACAUGGGGAACAAGUGGAGACAAAAAUCAAGACGGAGCAAGGAAAGCAUGAAAAUGAAAGGGAAAAAAUAUAUGAGAUAGAAAAAGAUGCCUUGGAUGACUUAAGUGCAGACGAGAGUCAAGACAAAGAGGAUCUUGAAAGAGUGAAAGAGUUGUUGAAAAAGAACCAGAAACUUGACAUGAGAGGCUGUAAAAUCAAAAAAGAAAUAGACAUAUUAAAACAAAAAAAUGAAAACAUAAAAGAGGAAAGGAAAACAACUGAAAUAAAAGAAACUGAAAAAAAAAUGAAACUGAAAGAUUUCAAUAAAAUGUUUUGGGGCAAACAAAAAGAAAAACACAGUACUGAGUAUCUGACUGUAAAGAAAGAAUAUAAAAGAGAAACGACUAAGGAUGGUAUAAAAAGGGUGAUCUUACAAGACACAAAACAAGACUUGAUAAAAAAAGAGAUAAAAAAAUGUAACCAGGAAAAAGAAAAAGUCAUCCAGAUGAAAACUAGACGUGAGAAUAGAAAAGAACUGUUGUUGAAGGUAAGGAGAAACAUCAAAGAUGAAGAGAAAGAGAUGGAAAUGAGAGGAGACCAAGUCAUGGAUGAAAUGAAAUCGCUAGAGAUUCUGAAAGUGAAACUUCAACAACUGAAGGGGGAUAUAAAAGCCAAAAUGGAGAGAUUACUACAAAAUGUUGACAACAGGUCAAGGCUGCAAACAGUGUUGGAAGAAAAACUUCCAACCCAAGACGAACUGAAAGAAAGCAUUCGCUGUUUCACUGAAAUGUUAGAGAGAGAAAAGGAAGGUGUGAGAAGUAUCCUUUCAGACAUGGUCACCAAGAGAGAAUGCACAGAAAAUGAAUGGAAGCAGCAGUUUGAACUGGACAAACGAGAGCUUGAUAAAGUGAAAGAAGAUCUGAGACACGACAGAGAAGAUCUGGAGAGAGAAAGUGAGGUGCUGAAUAAAGAGAAAAUGGAUUUGAAGGUGUUGAUGUCUGACAUCAUGAAACAAUUUGAAAUAUUGGAAGAAAAGAAACAAAAUAUAAAAGAAGAACGAGACUCAAUGGAAACCAUAAAGCUUGAACUGCUCAAUAAGAUGGAACAUGUAAACAGGCUGUUACAUGAGACAAAUGACGAAAAAGCCAAGAUUAAAAAUUGUAUCCUUCAGGUUCAAAUGGAAAAAGAAAGACUUGAAGACAUUUUAAGCAAGAUUUUCUUAACACAUAAUGAAGAAAAAGUCAAGGAAUAUGGCCUCAGAAGACAAACAAAAGAAGUGGAAAUCAUGAAAAAGGAAUUACAGAGUGAAAGAGCAAAAGUGGAGAGUCUGAUGAGGAAUCUGAAGAAGAAGCAAGAAGAGCUUGAACGUGCAAAGGAAAUCAUGAGUGGAGAAAAAGAAGAGAUGAAAGAGAUGAAGACUGACAUUGCCAAAGAACGAGAACUGUUGUUGAAGGAAAGGAGAAAUAUGGAAGAAGAGCGGUCUGAGAUGGAAAUGAGAGGAGACCAAGUCAUGGAUGAAAUGAAAUUGCUAGAGAUUCUGAAAGUGAAACUUCAACAACUGAAGGAGGAUAUAAAAGCCAAAAUGGAGAGAUUACUACAAAAUGUUGACAACAGGUCAAGGCUGCAAACAGUGUUGGAAGAAAAACUUCCAACCCAAGACGAACUGAAAGAAAGCAUUCGCUGUUUCACUGAAAUGUUAGAGAGAGAAAAGGAAGGUGUGAGAAGUAUCCUUUCAGAAAUGGUCACCAAGAGAGAAAGCACAGAAAAUGAAUGGAAGCAGCAGUUUGAACUGGACAAACGAGAGCUUGAUAAAGUGAAAGAAGAUCUGAGACACGACAGAGAAGAUCUGGAGAGAGAAAGUGAGGUGCUGAAUAAAGAGAAAAUGGAUUUGAAGGUGUUGAUGUCUGACAUCAUGAAACAAUUUGAAAUAUUGGAAGAAAAGAAACAAAAUAUAAAAGAAGAACGAGACUCAAUGGAAACCAUAAAGCUUGAACUGCUCAAUAAGAUGGAACAUGUAAACAGGCUGUUACAUGAGACAAAUGACGAAAAAGCCAAGAUUAAAAAUUGUAUCCUUCAGGUUCAAACGGAAAAAGAAAGACUUGAAGACAUUUUAAGCAAGAUUUUCUUAACACAUAAUGAAGAAAAAGUCAAGGAAGAUGGCCUCAGAAGACAAACAAAAGAAGUGGAAAUCAUGAAAAAGGAAUUACAGAGUGAAAGAGCAAAAGUGGAGAGUCUGAUGAGGAAUCUGAAGAAGAAGCAAGAAGAGCUUGAACGUGCAAAGGGAAUCAUGAGUGAAGAAAAAGAAGAGAUGAAAGAGAUGAAGACUGACAUUGCCAAAGAACGAGAACUGUUGUUGAAAGAAAGGAGAAAUAUGGAAGAAGAGCGGUCUGAGAUGGAAAUGAGAGGAGACCAAGUCAUGGAUGAAAUGAAAUUGCUAGAGAUUCUGAAAGUGAAACUUCAACAACUGAAGGAGGAUAUAAAAGCCAAAAUGGAGAGAUUACUACAAAAUGUUGACAACAGGUCAAGGCUGCAAACAGUGUUGGAAGAAAAACUUCCAACCCAAGACGAACUGAAAGAAAGCAUUCGCUGUUUCACUGAAAUGUUAGAGAGAGAAAAGGAAGGUGUGAGAAGUAUCCUUUCAGAAAUGGUCACCAAGAGAGAAUGCACAGAAAAUGAAUGGAAGCAGCAGUUUGAACUGGACAAACGAGAGCUUGAUAAAGUGAAAGAAGAUCUGAGACACGACAGAGAAGAUCUGGAGAGAGAAAGUGAGAAGUAUCCUUUCAGAAAUGGUCACCAAGAGAGAAUGCACAGAAAAUGAAUGGAAGCAGCAGUUUGAACUGGACAAACGAGAGCUUGAUAAAGUGAAAGAAGAUCUGAGACACGACAGAGAAGAUCUGGAGAGAGAAAGUGAGAAGUAUCCUUUCAGAAAUGGUCACCAAGAGAGAAUGCACAGAAAAUGAAUGGAAGCAGCAGUUUGAACUGGACAAACGAGAGCUUGAUAAAGUGAAAGAAGAUCUGAGACACGACAGAGAAGAUCUGGAGAGAGAAAGUGAGGUGCUGAAUAAAGAGAAAAUGGAUUUGAAGGUGUUGAUGUCUGACAUCAAGAAACAAUUUGAAAUAUUGGAAGAAAAGAAACAAAAUAUAAAAGAAGAACGAGACUCAAUGGAAACCAUAAAGCUUGAACUGCUCAAUAAGAUGGAACAUGUAAACAGGCUGUUACAUGAGACAAAUGACGAAAAAGCCAAGAUUAAAAAUUGUAUCCUUCAGGUUCAAACGGAAAAAGAAAGACUUGAAGACAUUUUAAGCAAGAUUUUCUUAACACAUAAUGAAGAAAAAGUCAAGGAAGAUGACCUCAGAAGUCAAACAAAAGAAGUGGAAAUCAUGAAAAAGGAAUUACAGAGUGAAAGAGCAAAAGUGGAGAGUCUGAUGAGGAAUCUGAAGAAGAAGCAAGAAGAGCUUGGGCGUGCAAAGGGAAUCAUGAGUGAAGAAAAAGAAGAGAUGAAAGAGAUGAAGACUGACAUUGCCAAAGAACGAGAACUGUUGUUGAAGGAAAGGAGAAAUAUGGAAGAAGAGCGGUCUGAGAUGGAAAUGAGAGGAGACCAAGUCAUGGAUGAAAUGAAAUUGCUAGAGAUUCUGAAAGUGAAACUUCAACAACUGAAGGAGGAUAUAAAAGCCAAAAUGGAGAGAUUACUACAAAAUGUUGACAACAGGUCAAGGCUGCAAACAGUGUUGGAAGAAAAACUUCCAACCCAAGACGAACUGAAAGAAAGCAUUCGCUGUUUCACUGAAAUGUUAGAGAGAGAAAAGGAAGGUGUGAGAAGUAUCCUUUCAGACAUGGUCACCAAGAGAGAAUGCACAGAAAAUGAAUGGAAGAAGCAGUUUGAACUGGACAAACGAGAACUUGAUAAAGUGAAAGAAGAUCUAAAACAUGACAGAGAAGAUCUGGAGAGAGAAAGUGAGGUGUUGAAUAAAGAGAAAAUGGAUUUGAAGGUGUUGAUGUCUGACAUCAAGAAACAAUUUGAAAUAUUGGAAGAAAAGAAACAAAAUAUAAAAGAAGAACGAGACUCAAUGGAAACCAUAAAGCUUGAACUGCUCAAUAAGAUGGAACAUGUAAACAGGCUGUUACAUGAGACAAAUGACGAAAAAGCCAAGAUUAAAAAUUGUAUCCUUCAGGUUCAAACGGAAAAAGAAAGACUUGAAGACAUUUUAAGCAAGAUUUUCUUAACACAUAAUGAAGAAAAAGUCAAGGAAGAUGAACUCAGAAGUCAAACAAAAGAAGUGGAAAUCAUGAAAAAGGAAUUACAGAGUGAAAGAGCAAAAGUGGAGAGUCUGAUGAGGAAUCUGAAGAAGAAGCAAGAAGAGCUUGAACGUGCAAAGGGAAUCAUGAGUGAAGAAAAAGAAGAGAUGAAAGAGAUGAAGACUGACAUUGCCAAAGAACGAGAACUGUUGUUGAAGGAAAGGAGAAAUAUGGAAGAAGAGCGGUCUGAGAUGGAAAUGAGAGGAGACCAAGUCAUGGAUGAAAUGAAAUUGCUAGAGAUUCUGAAAGUGAAACUUCAACAACUGAAGGAGGAUAUAAAAGCCAAAAUGGAGAGAUUACUACAAAAUGUUGACAACAGGUCAAGGCUGCAAACAGUGUUGGAAGAAAAACUUCCAACCCAAGACGAACUGAAAGAAAGCAUUCGCUGUUUCACUGAAAUGUUAGAGAGAGAAAAGGAAGGUGUGAGAAGUAUCCUUUCAGAAAUGGUCACCAAGAGAGAAAGCACAGAAAAUGAAUGGAAGCAGCAGUUUGAAUUGGACAAACGAGAGCUUGAUGAAGUGAAAGAAAAUCUGAGACACGACAGAGAAGAUCUGGAGAGAGAAAGUGAGGUGCUGAAUAAAGAGAAAAUGGAUUUGAAGGUGUUGAUGUCUGACAUCAAGAAACAAUUUGAAAUAUUGGAAGAAAAGAAACAAAAUAUAAAAGAAGAACGAGACUCAAUGGAAACCAUAAAGCUUGAACUGCUCAAUAAGAUGGAACAUGUAAACAGGCUGUUACAUGAGACAAAUGACGAAAAAGCCAAGAUUAAAAAUUGUAUCCUUCAGGUUCAAACGGAAAAAGAAAGACUUGAAGACAUUUUAAGCAAGAUUUUCUUAACACAUAAUGAAGAAAAAGUCAAGGAAGAUGAACUCAGAAGUCAAACAAAAGAAGUGAAAAUCAUGAAAAAGGAAUUACAGAGUGAAAGAGCAAAAGUGGAGAGUCUGAUGAGGAAUCUGAAGAAGAAGCAAGAAGAGCUUGAACGUGCAAAGGGAAUCAUGAGUGAAGAAAAAGAAGAGAUGAAAGAGAUGAAGACUGACAUUGCCAAAGAACAAGAACUGUUGUUGAAGGAAAGGAGAAAUAUGGAAGAAGAGCGGUCUGAGAUGGAAAUGAGAGGAGACCAAGUCAUGGAUGAAAUGAAAUUGCUAGAGAUUCUGAAAGUGAAACUUCAACAACUGAAGGAGGAUAUAAAAGCCAAAAUGGAGAGAUUACUACAAAAUGUUGACAACAGGUCAAGGCUGCAAACAGUGUUGAAAGAAAAACUUCCAACCCAAGAUGAACUGAAAGAAAGCAUUCGCUGUUUCACUGAAAUGUUAGAGAGAGAAAAGGAAGGUGUGAGAAGUAUCCUUUCAGACAUGGUCACCAAGAGAGAAUGCACAGAAAAUGAAUGGAAGCAGCAGUUUGAACUGGACAAACGAGAGCUUGAUGAAGUGAAAGAAGAUCUGAGACACGACAGAGAAGAUCUGGAGAGAGAAAGUGAGGAGCUGAAUAGAGAGAAAAUGGAUUUGAAGGUGUUGAUGUCUGACAUCAAGAAACAAUUUGAAAUAUUGGAAGAAAAGAAACAAAAUAUAAAAGAAGAACGAGACUCAAUGGAAAUCAUAAAGCUUGAACUGCUCAAUAAGAUGGAACAUGUAAACAGGCUGUUACAUGAGACAAAUGAAGAAAAAGCCAAGAUUAAAAAUUGUAUCCUUCAGGUUCAAAUGGAAAAAGAAAGACUUGAAGACAUUUUAAGCAAGAUUUUCUUAACACAUAAUGAAGAAAAAGUCAAGGAAGAUGACCUCAGAAGACAAACAAAAGAAGUGGAAAUCAUGAAAAAGGAAUUACAGAGUGAAAGAGCAAAAGUGGAGAGUCUGAUGAGGAAUCUGAAGAAGAAGCAAGAAGAGCUUGAACGUGCAAAGGGAAUCAUGAGUGAAGAAAAAGAAGAGAUGAAAGAGAUGAAGACUGACAUUGCCAAAGAACAAGAACUGUUGUUGAAGGAAAGGAGAAAUGUGGAAGAACAGCAGUCUGGGAUGGAAAUGAGGGGAGACCAAGUCAUGGAUGAAAUGAAAUCACUAGAGAUUCUGAAAGUGAAACUAAUUGCGAGGAAAUCCCUGAAAGGUGAACUGUCUGAUGUACAACCCAGAGAGGACAUCCUCAGUAGUGUUACAAUCUCUACAAGAAACCUUAUAGGAAAACUAAAUAGACUGAUUCAUCAAGACUUGCCGACAUAUAUUAAGAGAGUAGAGGGGGAAAAUGAAAAAAUAUUACAAGUGAUCUCCACAUAUGAACAAAAUUGGGUCAGAAUUUAUAAGCAGAAAAUUAAAAUUACUGCAGAUUAUGACAAGAUACAACAACAAAAGAAACAUGUGUUUAAGACAACAUUUGACAAAGCAAUCCAAACUGAGGAUGUUGUAAAACAAUGCUUACAUGAGCAUCAGGAUGAAGAGACCAAUGAACAUGAAUUUAAGCAGAGGAUGAAGGAUGUUGCAGUUAAUCUUGAAGGAAGCAAAAGAUACUUGACACCUGACAAGGAAGGUCUGCUGUUAGUAGGAGAAGGUGAAGAAUUUGGAAAUGUCAAGAAAACAAAUCUUGCAACGUUGUCCAUCUUGUCAGCAGAGGAAGAUGACUUCACACAGAAGGGAAUUUUAAAAACUGAGUUUUUGAAACAAAUCUGGAAGGACACUAGAAUAGAACGAAAUGAAAUAAAUCAGAUGAAGCUCAGAGGUCAAGAAAUGAGAAACAAUAUGGAUAAAAGAGUAAAGGUGAUCAAUCAUUUUGUUAGGAGAUCAAUAUUUCAGAAAGAAAAGACAUCAGUUGAGAAAACAAGAAAAAUGUUGGAACAUGGGCAAAGUAAUACGUUUUUAUCUGUAAGUGGCAGGGAUGGAGAACACAAAUCACUUGAUGAAAAAUAUACCGAGCUCCAACAACUUAAGGUCCGCAUGCUUAGUGAGAUUGAGAAAUUCUACAUACAAAACAAAGCGUCUAAGACACUGACAACUAGCAACAAAGCUAAUCAAACAGUUCAACUAGAUUCUCCAAAUAUCUAUCAAGAGCAAAUAAAGGUAGAAGAAUCUGAAGCAGCACCAGAGAGAUCUCCUGGACUCCUCAGUCAGCUCAGACUUUCCUGUUAUCGCUGUUGCUCCCGUUAUUGUGCCUACUGCAAGCAAGGAUGUAUAAAGAAAAAAUGAGAGGCAAGAAAAGUGCUACAUAAAAAUCAGUCCAUUUACCUUUUGUUUUACUUUUUAGUUAUAUUAAUAUGUGUGUAUUUGGAAAAUGUGUUUUUCCCGUUAAUCAUAUUAACCUAACAACGUAAGAGUACCAGUCUGAUGUCAAUCAUCUAAUUUUUAAACAACUAGUUAUGUAAUGUAAAAGUAUUCCUUUAACAUGUUAUUUUUUUCACAAAUGCAAAAUAUUAAAGUUUAACAGAUAAUCUUAACAUUUCUAAUUACAUUUUUAUGCUGAUUUCUAAUUAAUCUUCUUUCAACAUAUUUAUUCUGUUGUCUUGUGUUAGAAUACAGAAGCACAAAGAAUACAGUAAAAUCAAAACUAACAAGAAUAUUUGAAAACUGUGACUCCAUAUAUAUUCAUAUUUAAAUGAAAGAAAAAUGCAUGUUUAACAUAAAUUUGAUCCCUAAAUAAAUCUUUUUCCAAAACCA
ensembl:lncRNA